rnacentral:rRNA from 1 species
CCUACGGGUGGCUGCAGUGGGGAAUAUUGGACAAUGGGGGGAACCCUGAUCCAGCCAUGCCGCGUGUGUGAAGAAGGCCCUCGGGUUGUAAAGCACUUUCAGUGAGGAAGAACGCCUGGUGGUUAAUACCCAUCAGGAAAGACAUCACUCACAGAAGAAGCACCGGCUAACUCCGUGCCAGCAGCCGCGGUAAUACGGAGGGUGCGAGCGUUAAUCGGAAUUACUGGGCGUAAAGCGCGCGUAGGUGGCUUGAUAAGCCGGUUGUGAAAGCCCCGGGCUCAACCUGGGAACGGCAUCCGGAACUGUCAAGCUAGAGUGCAGGAGAGGAAGGUAGAAUUCCCGGUAUAGCGGUGAAAUGCGUAGAGAUCGGGAGGAAUACCAGUGGCGAAGGCGGCCUUCUGGACUGACACUGACACUGAGGUGCGAAAGCGUGGGUAGCAAACAGGAUUAGAUACCCUGGUAGUC